UUAACGAUUGUAUAAGGACUCAGACAGCACAAUCAAAAGCGUGUGUGGGUCUCUGACGGGCACGCACCAGCCGGGGGGCCGGUGGCCGAACGGACGGCCCGCCAAAGCAACAAAGUUGGAUAAGCUAGGGUGGGAGAUCUACCCCGGGGGGCAGGAACUCGAUAAUGAUCCUUCCGCAGGUUCACCUACGGAAA
rnacentral:misc_RNA from 1 species